UGAGCUUUUGCUUUAUUUAAAAAAAAAAUACAGGGAAAGCAAAGCAGUAAGAAAAUUAAAAGGCAGGAGCAUACCAUGAUCUCCUAGAGUUAUCAGAAAACAGUAAGAGCUGAGGCAUGAAUAUGUAGAAGAAUUGAAGAAUUUACUGAAAAUGUAAUAACUUUUAUCAUGUCAUCUUAAUCUUGGCGCCAUAUUGCAUACUCCUUAACUCUUUGUCUACCUGCGGACUAUAGGUUAAUGUUCCAACCUAUUUCAUGCUUAUUUUUCUUCGUUUUUAGGGUGUUGUCUGAGAAUCGUCUUGACUCCAGAGGCCUGUAGAUGGCAAUCUUGCGCUGCAUUGGAGAAGCAAUUCCCAAUAUCCUGCACAGCUCCUGGGAUAACUGAUGCCAAUUAUAAUGGACAAAUCCAAGCUAUGGCUUCGACACUGUCUCCACCAUUGUCAAUAUCAAAGGGAGCUAGAAUUGCUCAAUUGAUUCUUUUCCGAGCAGUAGUCUGCAGGACUUGGUUCAAGAACAGCUCCAACAAGGACAUAUUGUUCUGACAAACAGCCUAUGGAAUUCACCAGUGUUUGUUAUCAAAAAGAAGAGUGGGAAAUGGGGAGUAAUGCAUGAUUUGUGACAAAUCAAUGCAGUGAUCGAGGACAUGGGCUCCUUGCAGCUGGAAACAAACAAAAAAAAAAAAAGAAAAGAAAAGAAAAAAAGAAAAAAGGAAAAAAAAAACUAGUACCUUUGAAUACUGUAUUGGACUCGCAGUAUGCUGUAGGUGUUGCUCAGCGUAUUGAGAGGACGCAUUUGAAACACAUCCCAAAGGAAAACUUGUUUCUAAAAUUUAAAGAGCUGUUAUUUUUGGUAGAGCAGUGAGUGCACCUGUAUUGUAUUAUUCACAUGCAGAGCCACCAUGUUACCUGGUAUUUUUGCAGAGGGUAACGCAUGUGCUGACCAGCUAACUAAUAUGACCCUGACUGCCCUGGUGUUGGAGCAAGCACAGUUAUACCAUAUGCUUUCUCUCAUGCUAUUUGGGUGACAGCUGUGGCGGGUGAAACUAGUUGCCAUGUCCAGGCUCACUUCCAUGUCGCUUUUGCAGUGCUAGGCAUCCCAAAGGAACUAAAACUUGACAGUGGCCCUGCCUAUGGUAGUCACUCCCUUCAAACCUUUGUUCGAACUUGGGGUAUCUGACACAUCACAGGAAUUCAUCAUUCCUCCAUGGGUCAAGCCAUUGUAGAGCGCACACAUCACACCUUGAAAGCACUGCUAAAUAAAAAAAAAGGGGGAGACACCCAGGAAACACCACAGAACAGGUUGGGAAAGGCACUUUCGUAAUCAGUCACCUAUCAUUACCCUUUCCUCACGAAGAGGUACCGCCCAUAGUAAAACAUUACAAAAGUAUGAAUUCCAUGCUGUCAUGGGUGCCAC
rnacentral:lncRNA from 1 species